CCUACGGGUGGCAGCAGUGAGGAAUAUUGGUCAAUGGCCGGAAGGCUGAACCAGCCAUGCCGCGUGAAGGUCAGUGCCCUAUGGGCGUUAAACUUCUUUUGUGCGGGAGCAAUAAUGGUCACGUGUGGCCAGACGAGAGUACCGUACGAAUAAGCAUCGGCUCACUCCGUGCCAGCAGCCGCGGUAAUACGGGGGAUGCAAGCGUUAUCCGGAUUUAUUGGGUUUAAAGGGUGCGUAGGCUGUGAGGUAAGUCAGCGGUGAAAUGCCCCCGCUCAACGGGGUGAAGUGCCAUUGAUACUGCCUGGCUGGAAUGCGGAUGCCGUGGGAGGAAUGUGUGGUGUAGCGGUGAAAUGCAUAGAUAUCACACAGAACACCGAUUGCGAAGGCAUCUCACGAAGCCGCGAUUGACGCUGAUGCACGAAAGCGUGGGUAUCAAACAGGAUUAGAUACCCGUGUAGUC
rnacentral:rRNA from 1 species